AUUGAACGCUGGCGGCAGGCCUAACACAUGCAAGUCGAGCGGAUGAAGGGAGCUUGCUCCUGGAUUCAGCGGCGGACGGGUGAGUAAUGCCUAGGAAUCUGCCUGGUAGUGGGGGAUAACGUCCGGAAACGGGCGCUAAUACCGCAUACGUCCUGAGGGAGAAAGUGGGGGAUCUUCGGACCUCACGCUAUCAGAUGAGCCUAGGUCGGAUUAGCUAGUUGGUGGGGUAAAGGCCUACCAAGGCGACGAUCCGUAACUGGUCUGAGAGGAUGAUCAGUCACACUGGACCUGAGACACGGUCCAGACUCCUACGGGAGGCAGCAGUGGGGAAUAUUGGACAAUGGGCGAAAGCCUGAUCCAGCCAUGCCGCGUGUGUGAAGAAGGUCUUCGGAUUGUAAAGCACUUUAAGUGGGGAGGAAGGGCAGUAAGUUAAUACCUUGCUGUUUUGACGUUACCAACAGAAUAAGCACCGGCUAACUUCGUG
rnacentral:rRNA from 1 species